CCGGUUGCCGGCGACCGGCGCACGGGUGAGUAACACGUAUGCAACCUGCCCGUGGCAGGGGGAUAAGCGGGGGAAACCCGUCUAAUACCGCGUAACGCGGCCUUGGGGCAUCCCAAGGCCGCCAAAGGGAGCAAUCCCGGCCACGGAUGGGCAUGCGGCGCAUUAGCUAGUCGGCGGGGUAACGGCCCACCGAGGCGACGAUGCGUAGGGGUUCUGAGAGGAAGGCCCCCCACACUGGUACUGAGACACGGACCAGACUCCUACGGGAGGCAGCAG
rnacentral:rRNA from 1 species